UCCCUGAUGGCCUAGUGGUUAGGAUUCCGGGCUUUGACUGCUGUGGCCCAGGUUCAAUCCCUGGUCAGGGAA